AAUUAUUGGGCGUAAAGAGCUCGUAGGCGGUUUGUCGCGUCUGCUGUGAAACUGGGGGCUCAACCCCCAGCCUGCAGUGGGUACGGGCAGACUAGAGUGCGGUAGGGGAGAUUGGAAUUCCUGGUGUAGCGGUGGAAUGCGCAGAUAUCAGGAGGAACACCGAUGGCGAAGGCAGAUCUCUGGGCCGAACUGACGCUGAGGAGCGAAAGGGUGGGGAGCAAACAGGCUUAGAUACCCUGGUAGUCCACCCCGUAAACGUUGGGAACUAGUUGUGGGGCCGUGACGCAGCUAACGCAUUAAGUUCCCCGCCUGGGGAGUACGGCCGCAAGGCUAAAACUCAAAGGAAUUGACGGGGACCCGCACAAGCGGCGGAGCAUGCGGAUUAAUUCGAUGCAACGCGAAGAACCUUACCAAGGCUUGACAUACAGGUGGUGCAUGGUUGUCGUCAGCUCGUGUCGUGAGAUGUUGGGUUAAGUCCCGCAACGAGCGCAACCCUCGUUCUAUGUUGCAACUCAUGGGAUACUGCCGGGGUCAACUCGGAGGAAGGUGGGGAUGACGUCAAAUCAUCAUGCCCUUAUGUCUUGGGCUUCACGCAUGCUACAAUGGCCGGUACAAAGGGCUGCAAUACCGUAAGGUGGAGCGAAUCCCAAAAAGCCGGUCCCAGUUCGGAUUGAGGUCUGCAACU
rnacentral:rRNA from 1 species